rnacentral:rRNA from 1 species
GAUGAACGCUGGCGGCGUGCCUAAUACAUGCAAGUCGAGCGAACGGACGAGAAGCUUGCUUCUCUGAUGUUAGCGGCGGACGGGUGAGUAACACGAGGAUACCCUACUUAUAAUCCUGGGAUAACUUCGGGACACCGGAGAUAAUACGGUAUAAUAUUUUGAACCGCAUGUUUCAUAGGUGAAAGACGGUCUUGCUGUAUCUUCUCGAGGGUUCCGAGCUGCUUGGGCUAGUUGUUAAGGUACCGGCUUACCACGGCAACGAUGCAUAGCCGACCUGAGAGGGUGAACGGCCACACUGGAACUGAGACACGGUCCAGACUCCUACGGGAGGCAGCAGGAGGGAAUCUUCCGCAAUGGGCGAAAGCCUGACGGAGCAACGCCGCGUGAGUGAUGAAGGUCUUCGGAUCGUAAAACUCUGUUAUUAGGGAAGAACAUAUGUGUAAGUAACUGUGCACAUCUUGACGGUACCGAAUCAGAAAGCCACGGCUAACUACGU